rnacentral:rRNA from 1 species
CCCUUAGAUGUUCUGGGCCGCACGCGCGCUACACUGAUGCAUUCAACGAGCCUAUCCUUGACCGACAGGUCCGGGUAAUCUUUGAAUCUGCAUCGUGACGGGGAUAGAUUAUUGCAAUUAUUAAUCUUCAACGAGGAAUGCCUAGUAGGCGCAAGUCAUCAGCUUGCGUCGAUUACGUCCCUGCCCUUUGUACACACCGCCCGUCGCUCCUACCGAUUGAAUGAUCCGAUGAAUACCAUGGAUUGAGAGUACGAAUGGGUUCGCUCAUUUCUGCUGCUCGAGAAGUGGAGUAAAUCUUAUCAUUUAGAGGAAGGAGAAGUCGUAACA